UGGGGAAUUUUGGACAAUGGGCGAAAGCCUGAUCCAGCAAUGCCGCGUGUGUGAAGAAGGCCUUCGGGUUGUAAAGCACUUUUGUCCGGAAAGAAAUCCUCUGGGUUAAUACCUCGGGGGGAUGACGGUACCGGAAGAAUAAGCACCGGCUAACUACGUGCCAGCAGCCGCGGUAAUACGUAGGGUACAAGCGUUAAUCGGAAUUACUGGGCGUAAAGCGUGCGCAGGCGGUUUUGUAAGACGGAUGUGAAAUCCCCGGGCUUAACCUGGGAACUGCAUUCGUGACUGCAAGGCUAGAGUAUGGCAGAGGGGGGUAGAAUUCCACGUGUAGCAGUGAAAUGCGUAGAGAUGUGGAGGAAUACCGAUGGCGAAGGCAGCCCCCUGGGCCAAAUACUGACGCUCAUGCACGAAAGCGUGGGGAGCAAACAGGAUUAGAUACCCUGGUAGUCCACGCCCUAAACGAUGUCAACUAGUUGUUGGGGAUUCAUUUCCUUAGUAACGUAGCUAACGCGUGAAGUUGACCGCCUGGGGAGUACGGUCGCAAGAUUAAAACUCAAAUGAAUUGACGGGG
rnacentral:rRNA from 1 species